UACAUGUGGGGCAAGCGUUGUUCGGAAUUACUGGGCAUAAAGGGUGCGUAGGUGGCUUGUUAAGUCACGGGUGAAAGUUUUCGGCCCAACCGGAAAAUUGCCCGUGAUACUGGCGAACUUGAGUGCGUGAGGGGUAACCGGAACGAGCAGUGUAGCGGUGAAAUGCGUAGAUAUUGCUCGGAAGGCCAGAGGCGAAGGCGGGUUACUGGUGCGCAACUGACACUGAGGCACGAAAGCGUGGGGAGCAAACAGG
rnacentral:rRNA from 1 species